GCAAGUCGAACGGUAACGCGAGGAGCUUGCUCCUUGGCGACGAGUGGCGGACGGGUAAGUAAUGCUUAGGAAUCUACCCUGUGGUGGGGGAUAACUUGUGGAAACGCAAGCUAAUACCGCAUAAGUCUUACGAGAGAAAGCGUGGGAUCUUCGGACCACGUACCAUAGGAUGAGCCUAAGUUAGAUUAGCUUGUUGGUGAGGUAAAAGCUCACCAAGGCGACGAUCUAUAGCUGGUCUGAGAGGAUGAUC
rnacentral:rRNA from 1 species